UACGGAGGGCGCAAGCGUUGUUCGGAAUUACUGGGCGUAAAGGGCGCGUAGGCGGCUCGCUAAGUCGGAUGUGAAAUCCCCGGGCUCAACCUGGGAACUGCCUUUGUGACUGCAUAGCUAGAGUACGGUAGAGGGGGAUGGAAUUCCGCGUGUAGCAGUGAAAUGCGUAGAUAUGCGGAGGAACACCGAUGGCGAAGGCAAUCCCCUGGACCUGUACUGACGCUCAUGCACGAAAGCGUGGGGAGCAAACAGG
rnacentral:rRNA from 1 species